AUGAAGAGGUCAGAUUAUCGUCAGACCAUAGACAUUACAUGCAAGGACACUGAACAUUUGGCGAACAAAUGCGGCAAACAAAGGUUUGAAUAUCCUCCAAAGCACUUCAAGCCCUCAAAGAAUGAAACUCAAAACGCAGAUGAGGUAAAAGAAGAAACUUCUAAAUUAAAGUGGAGCGACCCAGGGACAAGUCUGGUUUGGGUUAAAGAUUAUGGAUGGUUAACUUUGUGUAACGUGUUUGGACAAGCAAGUUUAGGUUUUAGGCAAGUGAGUUUAGGCAAGCGACUUCAGGUAUUAGGCAAGCGACUUCAGGUAUUAGGCAAGCGACUUCAGGUAUUAGGCAAGCGAGUUUAGCCAAGCGAGUACAGGCAACGAGUCAAGCUAAGCAAGUUAGGUUUUAUGCAAGCGAGUUCAGGUAUUAGGCAAGCGAGUUUAGGCGAGCAAGUUCAGGUAUUAGGCAAGCGACGCGAGUUUAGCCAAGGAAGUUCAGGUUUUAUGCAAGCGAGUUUAGGUUUUAUGCAAGCGAGUUUAGGUUUUAUGCAAGCGAGUUUAGACAAGCGAGUUUAGGCAAGCAAGUUUAGGCAAGAGAGUCAAGUUACUUUAGGCCUCACUUUAUUUGCAGUUAAAUUGCGGCAUUAGGUUUAGAAAGAAGGUUAAGAUCAAGGCUCAGGUUUGCUCCCAGCCUUGUCCCUCUAGUCGCUCCCUAUAAAGAGGGUUCCAGCUACCGUGUUAAAAUACAACAGCUGGGAUUACAGACGUGGAGUACAGAAAUAAAUGACAAAGAUUGAUUCAAACAUUCUUCCCCCAAAAUGUGGUGCAACAUAAGAGAAAAUUAUGACUUUCUCUCCAUUGAAACCUAGUCAUAUCUUACAAGCUCUAUAGAGUGUGCACUGUGUUGAUGUUGGGUGUGGAUUAAAGUGCUGGUGUAGCCAGGGAUCCUCAGGGUUUAUGGGAGUAGGACACGCUGGUGUAGUUCAGUACUGUGAAGUAAAUUGAUGCAAAAAGUAGAAUCAGUGUCAAGGGCAAUCAAAUGUCUAUAAAUGCAGGAGCAGCCCCAUCUGGUCUCAAUCAGCAUUUGAUUUCAGACUUAAAUUAGCUAAAAAACAAGCAUUUAUUUACCGCAACAGUCCUAGUGCUGGAGAACCAGCUUUCAAAAAAUGUCAAUACGAGCCUCCAGGUGCAUUGGAGUUACUGCAUUUAAUUAACUUUAAUUUAAUUAAGAGCACACUAGUCAGUGGAGAUGUUCACAGAAAAGACUUGUCUUCAGACCUUUAUAAAGAUCAGGAGGGAUUAUAUAAUUGCCGUUUGACGCGUUAGGUCUGUUCAAGGAGGAAGUAAAUAUUUACCAGCGUUGGGUCUCUGCACCAUGACACCCAGCUGCCGCACAUAUGGUCUCCUUUAAGUCGCCUGAAGGAGAGGUCAACUUAAUUGAACCUAAGGGGAAUGGGUCACAUGAAAAGGUAAGGAUAAAUCAAAGCUAAACAUAGAAAGGAUGAAAACAAGCAUUGUCCAACAUGGGGUUCAGCGAUUUUUUGAUUUAAAAACAUUUAGGUGUACGAUCCAACCAUCAAAAACUCUUCUCAUCAUGUUUCCAAUGUGCCCCGAGUUGCUACGCCCUCAUUGGCCACCAGGUGGCAGACUUUAUUUUGUCAGUAGAAGGAGCAAAAUAGCCAUCCAGCUUGAGUACAGCAAUAGUAGAGGAGCGAGUCAAAAGAAUGCGUUUGAGCACCUUCAGCCAUUGGCUCUUGUUCAAGGACAUCCCACUGAUUGGCUGAAGUCAGAGCUUAUUCUCUAGAAAGUUUGUUACAGAAGAAGCCCCUAUCAUAGCAACAUACCCGCCAAACAAAACUAACCGUGUUGAAUAAAUGAAAAUGACUUCAAGAUGGUGAAUCCAGUAUCUUACCGGUUCCACAGAGUCUCUAGUCUGCUGCGCUGUAGGCCUUCGGUCCGUCCUCUGCUCCGGGACAUAAAGAACCAGUCAGUCAUCCAGCUGCUUGACCGCCUGCACCAUGAGGACGCUGUGGAUAUGGUAUGGGACCCUUUAUCAGCGGA
ensembl:lncRNA